AUGCUCACUUCAGCAGCACACAUACUAAAAUUGGAGUGAUGCAGAGAAGAUUUAUCAUGCCCCCUGCACAAGGAUGACAAGUAAAUUCCUGAAGCAUUAAAAAAAAAA